ACUCAAAUGAAUAGACGGGGACCCGCACAAGCAGCGGAGCGUGUGGUUUAAUUCGAGGCUACGCGAAGAACCUUACCAAGGCUUGACAUGCAGGUAGUAGUGAAGCGAAAGCGGAACGACCCUUCGGGGAGCCUGCACAGGUGAUGCAUGGCUGUCGUCAGCUCGUGCCGUGAGGUGUUUGGUUAAGUCCACUAACGAGCGCAACCCUUAUCGCCAGUUAUACGUGUCUGGCGAGACUGCCAGUAUUAAGCUGGAGGAAGGUGGGGAUGACGUCAAGUCAGCAUGUCCUUUAUGCCUUGGGCUACACACACGCUACAAUGGCCGGUACAGUGGGGCGCUAAGCCGCGAGGCGGAGCCAAUCCUAUAAAGCCGGUCUCAGUUCGGAUUGCAGGCUGCAACCCGCCUGCAUGAAGUCGGAGUUGCUAGUAAACGCAGGACAGCUAUACUGCGUUGAAUACGUUCCCGGGUCUUGCACACACCGCCCGU
rnacentral:rRNA from 1 species